GAUGAACGCUGGCGGCGUGCCUAAUACAUGCAAGUCGAGCGAACGGACGAGAAGCUUGCUUCUCUGAUGUUAGCGGCGGACGGGUGAGUAACACGUGGAUAACCUACCUAUAAGACUGGGAUAACUUCGGGAAACCGGAGCUAAUACCGGAUAAUAUUUUGAACCGCAUGGUUCAAAAGUAAAAGACGGUCUUGCUGUCACUUAUAGAUGGAUCCGCGCUGCAUUAGCUAGUUGGUAAGGUAACGGCUUACCAAGGCAACGAUGCAUAGCCGACCUGAGAGGGUGAUCGGCCACACUGGAACUGAGACACGGUCCAGACUCCUACGGGAGGCAGCAGUAGGGAAUCUUCCGCAAUGGGCGAAAGCCUGACGGAGCAACGCCGCGUGAGUGAUGAAGGUCUUCGGAUCGUAAAACUCUGUUAUUAGGGAAGAACAUAUGUGUAAGUAACUGUGCACAUCUUGACGGUACCUAAUCAGAAAGCCACGGCUAACUACGUGCCAGCAGCCGCGGUAAUACGUAGGUGGCAAGCGUUAUCCGGAAUUUAUGGGCGUAACGCGCGUAGGCGGUUUUUUAAGUCUGAUGUGAAAGCCCACGGCUCAACCGUGGAGGGUCAUUGGAAACUGGAAAACUUGAGUGCAGAAGAGGAAAGUGGAAUUCCAUGUGUAGCGGUGAAAUGCGCAGAGAUAUGGAGGAACACCAGUGGCGAAGGCGACUUUCUGGUCUGUAACUGACGCUGAUGUGCGAAAGCGUGGGGAUCAAACAGGAUUAGAUACCCUGGUAGUCCACGCCGUAAACGAUGAGUGCUAAGUGUUAGGGGGUUUCCGCCCCUUAGUGCUGCAGCUAACGCAUUAAGCACUCCGCCUGGGGAGUACGACCGCAAGGUUGAAACUCAAAGGAAUUGACGGGGACCCGCACAAGCGGUGGAGCAUGUGGUUUAAUUCGAAGCAACGCGAAGAACCUUACCAAAUCUUGACAUCCUUUGACAACUCUAGAGAUAGAGCCUUCCCCUUCGGGGGACAAAGUGACAGGUGGUGCAUGGUUGUCGUCAGCUCGUGUCGUGAGAUGUUGGGUUAAGUCCCGCAACGAGCGCAACCCUUAAGCUUAGUUGCCAUCAUUAAGUUGGGCACUCUAAGUUGACUGCCGGUGACAAACCGGAGGAAGGUGGGGAUGACGUCAAAUCAUCAUGCCCCUUAUGAUUUGGGCUACACACGUGCUACAAUGGACAAUACAAAGGGCAGCGAAACCGCGAGGUCAAGCAAAUCCCAUAAAGUUGUUCUCAGUUCGGAUUGUAGUCUGCAACUCGACUACAUGAAGCUGGAAUCGCUAGUAAUCGUAGAUCAGCAUGCUACGGUGAAUACGUUCCCGGGUCU
rnacentral:rRNA from 1 species